rnacentral:rRNA from 1 species
CAGUCGCCGCGGUAAUACAGAGGGUGCGAGCGUUAAUCGGAUUUACUGGGCGUAAAGCGUGCGUAGGCGGCUUUUUAAGUCGGAUGUGAAAUCCCUGAGCUUAACUUAGGAAUUGCAUUCGAUACUGGGAAGCUAGAGUAUGGGAGAGGAUGGUAGAAUUCCAGGUGUAGCGGUGAAAUGCGUAGAGAUCUGGAGGAAUACCGAUGGCGAAGGCAGCCAUCUGGCCUAAUACUGACGCUGAUGUACGAAAGCAUGGGGAGCAAACAGGAUUAGAUACCCGCGUAGUCCCUGUCUCUUAUAC